rnacentral:lncRNA from 1 species
CCUCGGCAGGUGCUGGGCUGGCUCCCGACCGUGCCGGAUGACGCUGGAGCCCUGCACGUAGUUUCUUGGCUGAUGCAGAAGUUUAAAAUGGAGGUUUGGUGUUAUGGCUGGAAGUGUGGAUUCAUCCUGUGUGUGUACAGGGUGUUUGCUCUCUCUAAAGCCAUUCCAGUGCCUGUAGUGAAGAGAUGUGGAGGCUCCUCUGGGGAGCAUGUGUGUGUAUUUACAGGUGUUACCUGUCCUUGUGUGCAGCAGCAUCGAGACAUCAAGAUCAAGCUGGACCAUGGAAGCUGCAGCUGUGUCUGUGCUGCAGGAAAAUCCAGACCUGCACUGGAAUGUCAAGCUGGAAUCUGGGCUCUUGGUUUGUGCCUCAGCAGAAAAUCCUGAUCAGAAGCUUUAUUGCACAGGAAUUUCUUUUAAUUUCUUUCACAACAGAUUGUCCUCACUCUUCUGUGCCAGUAUAAAACCACAUUUGUACCUGCUUCUGCUUUUUAGCUGAGCUCUAAUUCAAAGUAGAUUAAGAAACCAAUAAUACCAGAGGUUUGCAUGCCAUUGUAGGGUCCUGGGUUCCUAAAGUUCUCUCCAGGUGAGACGAGAUGAGGAGAGAAUGUGCAGCAGGGCUGUGGGGAUGGGGAAUAAUGGCCAUCACUGAGGGGACAGCUGGGACUGCACGGGACAGCCCAGGAGUGGAGCUGGUUGUCUGCAACUCCCUGCUAGGGCAUAAAACCAGCAUUAGUCUCACUGCUGUCCUUAGCUGAAUAUUUUUCUUGGAAAAACACUUAGGUAAAGCUGUGUUUUGAGCAUUUGUGUGGUCACAGAGACCUCUGGGUGUCUCUGGCUGGAAGCCCAGGGGGUCGCACACACCCUUAGAAAAAUGAUGAAAUGUGAAUUUCCUGGCCCAGAAAACCCAGUUGUAAGGAGAGUGCCGUGAUGUGGUUUGUUGAGCAAUAUAUUGGAUUUUAAAGAGUAACCGUAGUGCCUUGACUCUGUAUCUCCAGAUGGUUUUUAGAGGAAGGGAGCAUUGCUCAAGCACGUGGUGGGAUUCCUGUGCAGGAGUUCUGAUCCCUCCCAGCUCAGGGUAUUCUGCAAUUGCUUCUGUGGUAUUGAACCGCCCUGUGUGGUGCUGGGGCUUGAAUCACGGGGAGGAAAUAAACUUGUGUGUGUGUGGAUAGCA